rnacentral:hammerhead_ribozyme from 1 species
AUCCAACUGACGAGUCCCGAAUAGGACGAAAUGCGCUUUAUCCUGGAU